GACGAACGCUGGCGGCGUGCCUAAUACAUGCAAGUAGAACGCUGAAGGAGGAGCUUGCUCUUCUGGAUGAGUUGCGAACGGGUGAGUAACGCGUAGGUAACCUGCCUGGUAGCGGGGGAUAACUAUUGGAAACGAUAGCUAAUACCGCAUAACAGUAGAUGUUGCAUGACAUUUACUUAAAAGGUGCAAUUGCAUCACUACCAGAUGGACCUGCGUUGUAUUAGCUAGUUGGUGGGGUAACGGCUCAUCAAGGCGACGAUACAUAGCCGACCUGAGAGGGUGAACGGGCAAACUGGGAAUGGGAAAAGGGCCAGAAUUCUACGGGAGGGAGCAGUAGGGAAACCUCGGCAAUGGACGGAAGUCUGAACGAGCAAAGCCGCGUGAGUGAAGAAGGUUUUCGGAUCGUAAAGCUCUGUUGUAAGAGAAGAACGAGUGUGAGAGUGGAAAGUUCACACUGUGACGGUAUCUUACCAGAAAGGGACGGCUAACUACGUG
rnacentral:rRNA from 1 species